UACAUGCAAGUCGAACGAACUCUGGUAUUGAUUGGUGCUUGCAUCAUGAUCUUACAUUUGAGUGAGUGGCGAACUGGUGAGUAACACGUGGGAAACCUGCCCAGAAGCGGGGGAUAACACCUGGAAACAGAUGCUAAUACCGCAUAACAACUUGGACCGCAUGGUCCGAGUUUGAAAGAUGGCUUCGGCUAUCACUUUUGGAUGGUCCCGCGGCGUAUUAGCUAGAUGGUGGGGUAACGGCUCACCAUGGCAAUGAUACGUAGCCGACCUGAGAGGGUAAUCGGCCACAUUGGGACUGAGACACGGCCCAAACUCCUACGGGAGGCAGCAGUAGGGAAUCUUCCACAAUGGACGAAAGUCUGAUGGAGCAACGCCGCGUGAGUGAAGAAGGGUUUCGGCUCGUAAAACUCUGUUGUUAAAGAAGAACAUAUCUGAGAGUAACUGUUCAGGUAUUGACGGUAUUUAACCAGAAAGCCACGGCUAACUACGUGCCAGCAGCCGCGGUAAUACGUAGGUGGCAAGCGUUGUCCGGAUUUAUUGGGCGUAAAGCGAGCGCAGGCGGUUUUUUAAGUCUGAUGUGAAAGCCUUCGGCUCAACCGAAGAAGUGCAUCGGAAACUGGGAAACUUGAGUGCAGAAGAGGACAGUGGAACUCCAUGUGUAGCGGUGAAAUGCGUAGAUAUAUGGAAGAACACCAGUGGCGAAGGCGGCUGUCUGGUCUGUAACUGACGCUGAGGCUCGAAAGUAUGGGUAGCAAACAGGAUUAGAUACCCUGGUAGUCCAUACCGUAAACGAUGAAUGCUAAGUGUUGGAGGGUUUCCGCCCUUCAGUGCUGCAGCUAACGCAUUAAGCAUUCCGCCUGGGGAGUACGGCCGCAAGGCUGAAACUCAAAGGAAUUGACGGGGGCCCGCACAAGCGGUGGAGCAUGUGGUUUAAUUCGAAGCUACGCGAAGAACCUUACCAGGUCUUGACAUACUAUGCAAAUCUAAGAGAUUAGACGUUCCCUUCGGGGACAUGGAUACAGGUGGUGCAUGGUUGUCGUCAGCUCGUGUCGUGAGAUGUUGGGUUAAGUCCCGCAACGAGCGCAACCCUUAUUAUCAGUUGCCAGCAUUAAGUUGGGCACUCUGGUGAGACUGCCGGUGACAAACCGGAGGAAGGUGGGGAUGACGUCAAAUCAUCAUGCCCCUUAUGACCUGGGCUACACACGUGCUACAAUGGAUGGUACAACGAGUUGCGAACUCGCGAGAGUAAGCUAAUCUCUUAAAGCCAUUCUCAGUUCGGAUUGUAGGCUGCAACUCGCCUACAUGAAGUCGGAAUCGCUAGUAAUCGCGGAUCAGCAUGCCGCGGUGAAUACGUUCCCGGGCCUUGUACACACCGCCCGUCACACCAUGAGAGUUUGUAACACCCAAAGUCGGUGGGGUAACCUUUUAGGAACCAGCCGCC
rnacentral:rRNA from 1 species